rnacentral:lncRNA from 1 species
AAAACCAGCUAAAGGAAAAGAAAUAUUUUGAGAACACUGAAAAUAUGAAAAAAAGAAUGAUAAUCUUCUAAAAGCUAUAAAAUUGAAUGAGGAAACUUUAACAAAAGAGGUAUUUCACUACAAUGAACAGCUUAGCAUUUUGACAACUGAGAAUAAAAUGCUUGGUUUUAAACUGGGGGAUAUAAAGCACCACAAGGAAAGACUGGAAACAGAAAUUCAAUCAUAUAAUUGUAGACUGGCCACUGCUGUAUAUUUUUGUGACCAAAGUGAGAAAGCAAAAAGAGACCUCUUUCCAGAGAAUAAGACACAAAUAGGUUCAUUUACAGGAGAAAAUGAAGUUUGAUAUGCCUACCCUAAAAGGUAACAGUGAGGUUCUUUCUGAACAACUCUCUAAUGCUGACAGUAAAAUUAACAGCCUAAAAAUUAAGCUCCAUCACACAAGAUAAACACUCGGAGAAAAGACUUCAGUUUUAGAACAUUUCCAAAGAGAUCUAUGCCAAACACAGACAGUGUCAAAAGAAAGAAAUUGAACAAAUGUGUCAAAAUGAACAAAGCAGAGUAAAUAAAUAUACUGGAGUGCAGAAACCUAUGAAGACAGAUUUUCUCAACUACAAAGUGAAAAUAAUUUGCUUUGGCAGCAACUGGAUGAUGCUGACAAGAAAGCUGAGAGUCAAGAAAAGACAAUCAGUACUAUCCAAGAGCAAUUCCAUGCUGUUGUCAGAAAUCUUCUAGCUGAGAGUAUAAAGUCUUCUGCUGGAAGAGGAAAACGAGGAGAUAAUCAAUGUACGUAAUCCCUUGAAAGAAAGAAUAUAUCAAUGUGAAAAAG